rnacentral:misc_RNA from 1 species
UCCGGUUUAUCACCGGCAGUCUCUUUAGAGUUCCCGCCAUUACGCGCUGGCAACUAAAGAUAAGGGUUGCGCUCGUUACGGGACUUAACCCAACAUCUCACGACACGAGCUGACGACAGCCAUGCAGCACCUGUCUCUGGGCUCCCGAAGGCACCCUUCCCAUUACGGAAGGUUCCCAGGAUGUCAAGAGUAGGUAAGGUUCUUCGCGUUGCAUCGAAUUAAACCACAUGCUCCACCGCUUGUGCGGGUCCCCGUCAAUUCCUUUGAGUUUUAGCCUUGCGGCCGUACUCCCCAGGCGGAGAACUUAUCGCGUUAGCUGCGACACUAAGCAGUCUAUGCUGCCCAACGUCUAGUUCUCAUCGUUUACGGCGUGGACUAC